rnacentral:lncRNA from 1 species
UGUUGUUGUUGUUGUUGUUGUUAUUAUUAUUAUUAUUAUUAUUAUUAUAUAGCACAUAAAUCCCUAAUUGUUUCAUAUAGCAUUUUCUGUAGUCAUCACAAAAAACACAAAAGUCAAGAUUACAUCCUUACCUUGUCUUUAAUUCGAAAAUGAAAGAGAAUUUACGAGAAGAUGAUGUGUUCAAGUUACUUGAAUGGCUCAAGAUGACAGCAACAGUUUGAUGGAUCCGACUAGUUGUUUGUUAUGAGCGAGAUGGUGGCUUCAAUUUUAUGUGCUUGGUAACCAAAUCCAAGAGAGAAAUUAGAGAGUCGAAAGAGAGAAAGAUGCGAUUAGCAGACGAGAGAAGAUGAGAGAAAAAAUUUCAUGUAGCCCAUACAAACGGAAACCGAACUCAACCAAUUAGAUAAUUUAGUUUGAUUUUAAUUCCAAACUUAGCCGUGAUUAAGUAAUUAAUUUGUUAGCUCUAGUUCUAACAAUAAGUGAAGAAGAGGAUCUUGUUGGAUGCCCGAAAUGCUAUAACAGAGUAAUGUUAGCUUUGUAUGGG